GCGUGGUUGGCGUAGUGGUUUAACGCAUCACUCGACUUGCGGGUGAAAUCCCCGGAGAACCUCUGUUCAAGACCGACUCUGGGGGCAAGUUCGUUCCAAUCUCAUGACAAUGACAUUACUGAGUGAAGACCCGGGUUCGAAUCCCGGACUGCGCA